rnacentral:rRNA from 1 species
UACAGAGGGUGCAAACGUUGCUCGGAAUCAUUGGGCGUAAAGCGCACGUAGGCGGCCUAGCAAGUAGGGAGUGAAAGCCCUCGGCUUAACCGAGGAAGUGCUUUCUAAACUACUAGGCUUGAAUACUGGAGAGGGUCGCGGAAUUCCCGGUGUAGAGGUGAAAUUUGUAGAUAUCGGGAGGAACACCAGUGGCGAAGGCGGCGACCUGGGUCGAGACUGACGCUGAGGCGCGAAAGCGUGGGGAGCAAACAGG